UGCAAGAGCAGAAUGGAGCCUGUCAUCCUUGUACCAAGUGCAAGCCCGGUGCCCCAUUUAGAGACGUCGCCUUAUGAGUGUGUCCUGGGUCAGAAGAAUGAGGAAGGGACUGCCUGAACUUGACUUUCUGCUCUGAACAAAGG